CCAGAGCCCGUCACUGUCAGGAAUGCCAGGGGUCACACUUUCAUUACAUACCUGUGUACCUACAACCUAACACCCACGUACACACGUGUGUACCUACAACCUAACACCCACGCACACACGUGUGUACCUACAACCUAACACCCACGUACACACGUACCUACAACGUAACACCCACAUACACACGUGUGUACCUACAACCUAACACCCACGUACACACGUGUGUACCUACAACCUAACACCCACGUAC
rnacentral:lncRNA from 1 species